rnacentral:rRNA from 1 species
GAUGAACGCUGGCGGCGUGCCUAAUACAUGCAAGUCGAGCGAACGGACGAGAAGCUUGCUUCUUUGAUGUUAGCGGCGGACGGGUGAGUCACACGUGUAUAACCUACCUAUAAGACUGGGAUAACUUCGGGAAACCGGCGCUUAUACCAGAUGAUCUUUUGAACCACAUGGUUCGAAAGUGAAAGACGGUCUUGCUGUCACUUAUAGCUGGAUCCGCGCUUCGUUAGCUAGUUGGUAAGGUAACGGCUUACCAAGGCAACGAUGCAUAGCCGACCUGACAGGGGGAAGGGCGACUAUGAAGUGAGCCACGGUCAAGACUCCUACGAGAGGCAGCAGUAGGGAAUGUUCGGCAACGGGCGAAAGCCUGACGGAGCAAUGCCGCGCGAGUGACGAAGGUGUUCGGAUCGGAAAACCGUGUUAUUGGGGAAGAACAUAUGUGUAAGUAACUGUGCAGAUCUUGACGGUACCGAAUCAGAAAGCCACGGCUAACUACGUG